rnacentral:rRNA from 1 species
ACGAACGCUGGCGGCGUGCCUAAUACAUGCAAGUAGAACGCUGAAGAGAGGAGCUUGCUCUUCUUGGAUGAGUUGCGAACGGGUGAGUAACGCGUAGGUAACCUGCCUGGUAGCGGGGGAUAACUAUUGGAAACGAUAGCUAAUACCGCAUAAAAUUGAUGAUUGCAUGAUAAUUAAUUGAAAGAUGCAACUGCAUCACUACCAGAUGGACCUGCGCUGUAUUAGCUAGUUGGUGAGGUAACGGCUCACCAAGGCGACGAUACAUAGCCGACCUGAGAGGGUGAUCGGCCACACUGGGACUGAGACACGGCCCAGACUCCUACGGGAGGCAGCAGUAGGGAAUCUUCGGCAAUGGGGGGAACCCUGACCGAGCAACGCCGCGUGAGUGAAGAAGGUUUUCGGAUCGUAAAGCUCUGUUGUAAGAGAAGAACGGGUGUGAGAGUGGAAAGUUCACACUGUGACGGUAUCUUACCAGAAAGGGACGGCUAACUACGUG